rnacentral:rRNA from 1 species
UUGACCUCAGCUCAGUCGUGAUUACCCGCUGAAUUUAAGCAUAUAACUAAGCGGAGGAAAGGAAACUAACGAGGAUUCCCCUAGUAACGGCGAGUGAACGGGGAAAAGCCCAGCGCUGAAUCCUUUAGCCUCAGGCUACCAGGAAAUGUAGCGUAUAGGUGCAGCUAUUCGUUCUCUUCGCGCACCCAAAGUCCCCUUGAGCGGGGCUACAGUCCAUAGAAGGUGCUAGACCUGUACGGGUGGCGAGGUGUUCGAUUUGUUGCUCCUUGGAGUCGGGUUGCCUGAGAUCGCAGCCCAAAGAGGGUGGUAAACCUCAUCUAAGGCUAAAUAUGACCACGAGACCGAUAGCAAACAAGUACCGUGAGGGAAAGUUGCAAAGAACUUUGAAGAGAGAGUUCAAGAGGGCGUGAAACCGCUGAGAUGGAAACGGAUAGAGUUGACGAAACUCGGCGGCAUUCAACCGGUCAGCUUAGUGGCCUUGCGGUUUUGCGCCUCGAUGAGGGCAAGGACGUGAGUGACUAUUGAGCACUUGAUUGGUGUAUUUGCCGUCGGUAUGCGCCGAGAGCCUCGGCUUCGUGCGCUGACGUGUGUGUAGUGGACCACUCCUUCCGGGCGUGGAACCCUGCGCAUAAUGAGGCGCAUCGGGGGUGAGGUUGGUAUACUGUCUCCGCUUUGGCGCAACGGUUGUUGCGUGUUGUGGUUGCUGUUGGGCGGUCGCGUGCGACUUGCCUAUAGUUAGCUGCGAUGCGUGGUGAUGCGGAUGCGUUGAGACAUGUGUCUCGGUGUGAACGUUGACCACCUAUCCGACCCGUCUUGAAACACGGACCAAGGAGUCUAGCAUAUGCGCGAGUCAUUGGGUGGAAAACCUAAAGGCGUAAUGAAAGUAAAGGUCGUCUUGAUGCGGCUGAUAUGGGAUCCGCACGGUUUCGGCCGGGCGGCGCACCAUAGCCCCGUCCCCGUUGCUUGCAAUAGGGCGGAGGUAGAGCGCAUACGCUGGGACCCGAAAGAUGGUGAACUAUGCCUGAGCAGGAUGAAGCCAGAGGAAACUCUGGUGGAGGUCCGAAGCGGUUCUGACGUGCAAAUCGAUCGUCUGACUUGGGUAUAGGGGCGAAAGACUAAUCGAACCAUCUAGUAGCUGGUUCCCUCU